rnacentral:rRNA from 1 species
UACGGAAGGCAGCAGUGGGGAAUAUUGCACAAUGGGCGAAAGCCUGAUGCAGCUAUGCCGCGUGUAUGAAGAAGGCCUUAGGGUUGUAAAGUACUUUCAUCGGGGAGGAAAAACAAAACUAAUAAUUUUAUUUCUUGACGUUACCCGAAAAAGAAGCACCGGCUAACUCCGUGCCAGCAGCCGCGGUAAUACGGAGGGUGCUAGCGUUAAUCAGAAUUACUGGGCGUAAAGAGCACGUAGGUGGUUUUUUUAAGUCAGAUGUGAAAUCCCUGGGCUUAACCUAAGAACUGCAUUUUGAAACUGAAAUACUAGAGUAUCGUAGAGGGAGGUAGAAUUCUAGGUGUAGCGGUGAAAUGCGUAGAUAUCUGGAGGAAUACCUGUGGCGAAAGCGGCCUCCUAAACGAAUACUGACACUGAGGUGCGAAAGCGUGGGGAGCAAACAGGGAUUAGAUACC